rnacentral:rRNA from 1 species
AGUUUGAUUAUGGCUCAGAUUGAACGCUGGCGGGAUGCUUUACACAUGCAAGCCAGCCGCAGCACGGACUUCGGUCUGGCAAGGAGUGGCGAACGGGUGAGUAAUACCGUGAAUCGCCUAGUAGCGGGGAUAACUACGCGAGCGUAGCUAAUACCGCAGCCACGCCCUUCGGGGGAAAGCGGGGACCCUUCGGGCCUCGCACUAUUAGAGCGGCCGAUAUCGGAUUAGCCAGCGAAAGGGCAACGGCUCAACAUGAUGAUCCGUAGCUGGUUUGAGAGGACGACCAGCCACACUGGGACUGGAGACACGGCCCAGACUCUACGGAGGCAGCAGCGGGGGAAUUUUGGGAUACGGGAAACUCGACCAGCCACCUCCAGUGUGUGGUGAUGAGGCCUUCGCUGGGUUGGGAAGAAUUUGGCAGAAAGAAACGGCACGGGAUACCCCGUGCAACUGACGGUACCUGCAGAAUAAGCACCGGCUAACUACGCCAGCAGCCGCGGUAAUACGUAGGGUGCAAGCGUUAAUCUGGUCACGGUAAGGAAGCGUGUGCAAGUAGUCUGGAAAGAAAGAUGUGAAAUCCAGAGCUGAAUCUUUGGAACUGCAUUUUUAACUACCGAGCUAGAGUGUCAGAGGGAGGUGGAAUUCCGCGUGCAGUGGUGAAUAUGUAGAUAUGCGGAGGAACACCGAUGCAUAGGCACAAACCGGAUAACACUGACGCUCAUGCACGAAAGCGUGGGAGCAAACAGGAUUAGAUACCCUGAAACUACGCCCUAAACGAUGUCAACUAGCUGUUGGGGCUCUCUGGCCUGGUAGCGCAGCUAACGCAAGCGACCGCCUGGGAGUACGGUCGCAAGGAUUAAAACUCAAAGGAAUUGACGGGACCUGCGCCGUUGUGGAUGAUGUGGAUUGAACGGAUGCAACGCGAAAAACCUUACCUACCCUUGACAUGUCUGGUAACCCUAAAGAUUUUUAUGCCUGCAAGAGAACCGGAACAUGUAGGGUGCUGUAUGGUUGUCGUCAGCUCGUGUCGUGAGAUGUUGGGUUAAACCCGCAACGAGCGGCAACCCUUGUCAUUAGUUGCUACGAAAGGGCACUCUAUCGAGACUGCCGGUGACAAAACCUGGAUAGCGGUGGGAUGACGUCAAGUCCUCAUGGCCCUUAUGGGUAGGGCCUUCACACGUCAUACAAUGGUCGGGACAGAGGGCCGCCAACCCGCGAGGGGAGCUAAUCCCAGAAACCCGAUCGUAGUCCGGAUCGCAGUCUGCAACCUGACUGCGUGAAGUCGGAAUCGCUAGUAAUCGCGGAUCAGCAUGGUCGCGUGAAUACGUUCCCGGGUCUUGUACACACCGCCCGUCACACCAUGGGAGGGGUUUUACCAGAAGUGAAGAAUGGACCGCAGAGCGGCAUACUACCACGGUAGAUUCAUGCGACUGGGGCAGAAACAACAAGGUAACUUGAAGAUACCUGAUGC